GUAGGUGGCAAGCGUUGUCCGGAAUUAUUGGGCGUAAAGCGCGCGCAGGCGGUUCUUUAAGUCUGAUGUGAAAGCCCACGGCUCAACCGUGGAGGGUCAUUGGAAACUGGAGAACUUGAGUACAGAAGAGGAAAGCGGAAUUCCACGUGUAGCGGUGAAAUGCGUAGAGAUGUGGAGGAACACCAGUGGCGAAGGCGGCUUUCUGGUCUGUAACUGACGCUGAGGCGCGAAAGCGUGGGGAGCAAACAGGAUUAGAUACCCUGGUAGUCCACGCCGUAAACGAUGAGUGCUAAGUGUUAGGGGGUUUCCGCCCCCCUUAGUGCUGCAGUCUAACGCAUUAGCACUCCGCCGUGGGAGUACGGCCGCAAGGCUG
rnacentral:rRNA from 1 species